rnacentral:lncRNA from 1 species
AUGGAUACUCACGUUCUGCAUCGCAGACUCCAGCCGGCUCUCCUCGCCCUCCAGCAGCUUCCUGUAGGUGGCGAUCUCGAUGUCCAGGGCCACCUUGACGUUCAUCAGCUCCUGGUACUCACGCAGCUGCCGCGCCACGUCCUGCUUGGCCGGCUGCGGGGCGGCCUGCAGCUUGGAGAGCUUGGCGUUGGCAUCCUUAACUGUCAGCUCCUCCGGCUGCUUGGCCUCUGCGAUGGCGGCCUCCAGGGAAGCCCUCUGGCCCUUGAGGCCCUCAGUCUCAGCCUGGGGCUCACUGAUGUUCUGGUUUAUCCCGGAGAUCUCAGUCUUUGUAUGCGGCACCUCAUCCCAGUGCUUCCCAGACAGCGUCUGCAGCUCCUCAUACUUGAUCUGGUACAUGCUCUCAGCCUCAGCCCGGCUGCCGUUGGUGAUCUCGUACUGCGCCUUGACCUCAGCGAUGAUGCUGUCCGUGUCCCGGGAGCAGCUGUUGUCCAUGGACAGCACCACAGAUGUGGCCGAGAUCUGGGACUGCAGCUCCCGGAUCUCCUCUUCUCACAGCGGCCUGAGGAAGUUGAUCUUGUCAGUCAGCCCUUCCAGGCGAGACUCCAGCUCUACCUUGUUCAUGUAAGCUUCAUUCACGUCCUUCUUGAUGAGGACAAAUUCAUUCUCCAUCUCUGUAGGCUUAUUGAUCUCAUCCUCCUACUUGCUCUUGAAGUCCUCCACCAGCCCCUGCAUGUUGCCAAGCCCCGCCUCCAGCUUCAGCUUCUCCUGGUCCAGAGUCUCCAGCUGCCCCCUAAGGUUGUUGAUGUAGCUCUCAAACAUGUUGUCCAUGUUGCUCUGAGUCGUCUGCUGCUGCUGCUGCUGCAGGAGGCUCCACUUGGUCUCCAGCAUCUUGUUCUGCUGCCCCAGGAACCGUAUCCUGUCGAUGAAGGAGGCAAACUUGUUGAGGGUCUUGAUCUGCUCCUUCUCCUGGGUACGCACGGCCUGGAUGUUGGGGUUCACCUCCAUGGAGGUUAA